GACGAACGCUGGCGGCGUGCUUAACACAUGCAAGUCGAACGGAAAGGCCCUGCUUUUGUGGGGUGCUCGAGUGGCGAACGGGUGAGUAACACGUGAGUAACCUGCCCUUGACUUUGGGAUAACUUCAGGAAACUGGGGCUAAUACCGGAUAGGAGCUCCUGCUGCAUGGUGGGGGUUGGAAAGUUUCGGCGGUUGGGGAUGGACUCGCGGCUUAUCAGCUUGUUGGUGGGGUAGUGGCUUACCAAGGCUUUGACGGGUAGCCGGCCUGAGAGGGUGACCGGCCACAUUGGGACUGAGAUACGGCCCAGACUCCUACGGCAGGCAGAAGUGGGGAAUAUUGCACAAUGGGCGGAAGCCUGAUGCAGCAACGCCGCGUGCGGGAUGACGGCCGUCGGGUUGUAAACCGCUUUCGCCUGUGACGAAGCGUGAGUGACGGUAAUGGGUAAAGAAGCACCGGCUAACUACGUG
rnacentral:rRNA from 1 species